rnacentral:rRNA from 1 species
UCGACCUCAAAUCAGGUAGGAAUACCCGCUG